rnacentral:rRNA from 1 species
UACGAAGGGGGCUAGCGUUGCUCGGAAUCACUGGGCGUAAAGCGCACGUAGGCGGAUUCUUAAGUCGGUGGUGAAAUCCUGGAGCUCAACUCCAGAACUGCCUUCGAUACUGGCGAUCUUGAGUCCGGAAGAGGUGAGUGGAACUCCUAGUGUAGAGGUGGAACUCGUAGAUAUUAGGAAGAACACCAGUGGCGAAGGCGGCUCACUGGUCCGGUACUGACGCUGAGGUGCGAAAGCGUGGGGAGCAAACAGG